GACGAACGCUGGCGGCGUGCUUAACACAUGCAAGUCGAACGGAAAGGCCCUGCUGUUGUGGGUUGCUCGAGUGGCGACCGGGUGAGUAACACGUGAGUAACCUGCCCUUGCCUUUGGGAUAACUUCAGGAAACUGGGGCUAAUACCGGACAGGAGCUCUUGCUCCAUGGUGGCGGGUGGAAAGAUUCGGCGGUUGGGGACGGACUCCCGGCUUAUCAGCUUGUUGGUGUGGUAGUGGCUUACCAAGGCGUUGACGGGUAGCCGGCCUGAGAGGGUGACAGGCCACAUUGGGACUGAGGUACGGCCCAGACUGCUACGGGAGGCAGCAGUGGGAAAUAUUGCACAAUGGGCGGAAGCCUGAUGGAGCGACGCCGCGUGCGAGAUGACGGCCUUCGGGUUGUAAACCGCUUUCGCCUGUGACGAAGCGUGAGUGACGGUAAUGGGUAAAAAAGCACCGGCUAACUACGUG
rnacentral:rRNA from 1 species